GGGGGGGGGGGGGGGGGGGGGGGGGGGGGGGGGGGCGAGCGGGGGGGCAGGGAGGGCGGGCGCGGACGGGUGGCGAGUGGCGGACGGGGGAGGAAGACAGCGGAAUCUACUGUUGCGUGGGGGAUAACGUAGGGAAACGUACGCUAAUACCGCAUACGACCUACGGGUGAAAGCAGGGGAUCUUCGGACCUUGCGCGAUUGAAUGAGCCGAUGUCGGCUUAGCUAGUUGGCGGGGUAAAGGCCCACCAAGGCGACGAUCCGUAGCUGGUCUGAGAGGAUGAUCAGCCACACUGGAACUGAGACACGGUCCAGACUCCUACGGGAGGCAGCAGUGGGGAAUAUUGGACAAUGGGCGCAAGCCUGAUCCAGCCAUACCGCGUGGGUGAAGAAGGCCUUCGGGUUGUAAAGCCCUUUUGUUGGGAAAGAAAAGCAGCAGGUUAAUACCCCGCUGUUCUGACGGUACCCAAAGAAUAAGCACCGGCUAACUUCGUG
rnacentral:rRNA from 1 species